UGGGGAAUUUUGCACAAUGGGGGAAACCCUGAUGCAGCGACGCCUCGUGAUUUAGAAGGCCUUCGGGUUGUAAAAAUCUUUUCUAUGGGAAGAAAAUGACAGUACCAUAGGAAUAAGGACCGGCUAAUUACGUGCCAGCAGCCGCGGUAAUACGUAAGGUCCGAGCGUUGUCCGGAAUCAUUGGGCGUAAAGGGUACGUAGGCGGGUAAGCAAGUUAGAAGUGAAAUCCUAUAGCUCAACUAUAGUAAGCUUUUAAAACUGCUCAUCUUGAGGUAUGGAAGGGAAGGGGGAAUUCCUAGUGUAGCGGUGAAAUGCGCAGAUAUUAGGAGGAAUACCGGUGGCGAAGGCGACUUUCUGGCCAUAACCUGACGCUGAGGUACGAAAGCGUGGGUAGCAAACAGG
rnacentral:rRNA from 1 species